CUUUAACCAGCAAUGAUUAAAAAAAUUACUUUUCUUUUAAAGGAAUUUAUCAUGUCAGUAUUCAAUUAUUCAUUCUUCAGGAGCAUCGCAAAACAGUGAAUUAAGUUUUUAACCCCAAUUAAUGUGUUAUGGUCUAUAGUGUUUUUCGUCCAUCUAGAAUGUGCCAAAUCUAUCAGCUUGAGAACUACAUUGCUUUCACAAUGAUACGUUGGAUUUAGGGAAGAGUAAUCAUAAACGAAAAGAAUACUAGAAGAUUUUAAUUCAAUAUAAGACUCAGAAAGAUCAACUUCAAAUAAUUUCAAUAAAUUAAGGAAGCUUUCAACCAACCUUGCUUUUUGAGAAAGAGAGCAAGAGACAAAAAAAUCAUUUAAGCCUUCUACGACAUCUGAAUCCGUAAGGGUUUUACCCCAAGCUGUUGAUCGUUUAAUGUACGUAUUGUUUGUUCUGUCCCACGACAAUAUACCAGUUAUACGAAAUCCAAGACUACCACUCGUCGUACUUCUGGAAACGGCAUCUAAUCUUUUUCGUUUUUCAAGAGGAGCGUCAUCGGCCCACAACUGUUUUCCUAAUUUGAUAUCCAUGACACAAGGAGUUUCCAUCUGAUACAGAAUAUUUUCUAAGAUUAUAGCUUUUCCAGUUAAGGAAAAAGCAACACUUUCUGCGAUCGGGUUGAUACCCUCAAUGUCUCUACUAGAAGGCAUCCACUCACCGAAAUUCUUAGGAAUCCAGUUGUAGAGCGUAAUAUUGUCGUUACAUGUUUUAUAAAAAUCAACUUCACUUUUAAUGCAUGGCUUAAUUAGAAUUUUAUCAUCCUCACUGACUAGUACUUGGCCAUGACCAGCAGCUUGAAAUGGAAACAGUUUUAGUUUCAUCAAGAGUUAAAGAAAAAAUCCGCUAGUACAUGUUUUUUCGUCAAAAGUAUAUUUCUUGAAAAUUGCAAUACGCGUUUAGCAAUAUGCUGAAGCGUUAUUUUCGAUGUGACAGCUGUUGGGUAAGCGGAAUGUAG